UACGUAGGUGGCAAGCGUUGUCCGGAUUUAUUGGGCGUAAAGCGAGCGCAGGCGGUUUCUUAAGUCUGAUGUGAAAGCCCCCGGCUCAACCGGGGAGGGUCAUUGGAAACUGGGAGACUUGAGUGCAGAAGAGGAGAGUGGAAUUCCAUGUGUAGCGGUGAAAUGCGUAGAUAUAUGGAGGAACACCAGUGGCGAAGGCGGCUCUCUGGUCUGUAACUGACGCUGAGGCUCGAAAGCGUGGGGAGCGAAC
rnacentral:rRNA from 1 species